GCGGAGGAAAAGAAACCAACAGGGAUUGCCCCAGUAACGGCGAGUGAAGCGGCAAAAGCUCAAAUUUGAAAUCCUGCGGGAAUUGUAAUUUGAAGGUUUCGUGGUCUGAGUCGGCCGCGCCCAAGUCCAUUGGAACAUGGCGCCUGGGAGGGUGAGAGCCCCGUAUGGCGCACGCCGACUCUUUGCACCGCGGCUCCGACGAGUCGAGUUGUUUGGGAAUGCAGCUCUAAGUGGGUGGUAAAUUCCAUCUAAAGCUAAAUAUUGGCGAGAGACCGAUAGCGAACAAGUACAGUGAUGGAAAGAUGAAAAGCACUUUGAAAAGAGAGUGAAACAGCACGUGAAAUUGUUGAAAGGGAAGGGCUUGCAAGCAGACACGGUUUUACCGGGCCAGCGUCGAAAAGGGGGGAGGAACAAGAACUCGAGAAUGUGGCGCGCACCUUCGGGUGCGCGUGUUAUAGCUCGUGUUGACGCCUCCAUCCCUUUUCGAGGCCUGCGAUUCUAGGACGCUGGCGUAAUGGUUGCAAGCCGCCCGUCUUG
rnacentral:rRNA from 1 species